rnacentral:misc_RNA from 1 species
GGAGUAAAAGUCGUAACAAGGUUUCCGUAGGUGAACCUGCGGAAGGAUCAUUAUUGUAUAACCGAGGUGCGAGGGCUGUCGCGGACCCGAAAGGUCGUGCACGCCCGAGUGCCCUCACACACAUCCAUCUCACCCCUAUGUGCACCACCGCGUGGGUCCCCCUUUGGCUUGUUCGGAGGGGGGCUUACGUUUUCACACAAACUUUGUAUGCAGUGUAGAAUGUAUUUUUUGUUUUUGCGAUCACGCAAUCAAUACAACUUUCAACAACGGAUCUCUUGGCUCUC